rnacentral:sRNA from 1 species
CCUCGUCGAUCUGCUGCGGGCAGAUGAAAUGGAUGUGACUGUCCACCCCGCCGGCGGUGAGGAUCUUGCCCUCGCCGGCGAUCGCCUCGGUGCCGGGGCCGACCACGAUGGUGACGCCCGGCUGCGUGUCGGGGUUGCCGGCCUUGCCGAUGGCGUGGAUGCGCCCGCCGCGUAGGCCGACGUCGGCCUUGUAGAUGCCGGUAUGGUCGAGGAUCAGCGCAUUGGUGAUGACGGUGUCGACCGCCCCUUGUGCCCGGCUCUGCUGCGACUGGCCCAUGCCGUCGCGGA